rnacentral:rRNA from 1 species
UACGGAGGGUGCAAACGUUAAUCGGAAUUACUGGGCGUAAAGCGCACGUAGGCGGUCCGUUAAGUGGGGUGUGAAAGCCCUGGGCUCAACCUGGGAAUUGCAUUCCAAACUGACGGGCUAGAGUGUGGUAGAGGGGGGUAGAAUUCCAUGUGUAGCGGUGAAAUGCGUAGAUAUAGGGAGGAAUACCUGUGGCGAAGGCGGCCCCCUGGACCAACACUGACGCUGAGGUGAGAAAGCGUGGGGAGCAAACAGG